AGAUGGUAGCCCCAAUCUCGACAGUAGUAAAAAUGUAGCAAAUGUGUCUUCCUGCAUAGGCACGCCUUCCUGCAGCCCCAGGGGUUGAGCUAUGCUCACCUGUUCCUUUGUGAUAUUACCCCUUUGCCCUGUGUGGGAUAGAAUGUUCCAUGGAAACGCCCUUUGUGUGUCCCCUUCUCUUGCUCUGCCCUUGGGUGUGGCCUCCCUAGAUGCCAGUCAAUCUGCUGACAGUGGACAUCAGGAAGCUAGACUCAGACCCCUAAAUCUGACCCCUUGCCUCAUUUGAAUGGCUUCUCUUCAAUAAAAGGGGUCAGCACGUUCUCUCUCUCUCUCUCUCUCUCUCUCUUUCUGCAGACCCUUAAGGUCAGAGGAGCCAUCACAGGACCCCAAAGAAAAAGGUAUCUCUGUCUCUUGUGUGGUUAUUUCCUGCAGCCCAGUUCCCUGGAGUGACCCUGAGUGUUUUAGUUGCGAGGAAUGCAACAGAUGACAUUUGAGCAAAGUCCUGAAGAAGCAAGUCGUGGAGUUAUGUGGUAAGGGUGGCAAUAGCAGUGGGAGCAGCAAAUGCAAAGGCCCUGAGGUAGGAGUGAGUCCGGUGUGUCCCAGGACUAGGAAGGAGGCCAAGGUGGCCGGAGGGGACUGAGUGAGGAGGACUAUAAGAGGCAAUAGAGCUUUUAGGCUACCAUCCAGAAUUUGGAUUUUGGGGCUGGGGAUAUUGUAGAGUCCUAGAGUGCUUGUUUAGCCUAUGCGAGGCCCUGGGUUCUUUUCCCAGCACCCCGUCCACAAAAAUUGGCUUCUACUUUUUCAUCUGGAGAGCCAGCUGUGUCUUCGUGUGUUCUGGGGCCGGUUCUCAAGAGAAGAUUGCUCAACUUUGGGGAAUUGUGCAAGCCAGUUGUUGAACACAGCUAGUAUUAAAAACUAGAUUGUCAGUUGUUCAGCCAGGUACAGUGAUGUUCCCAGCCAGCCUCACAGCUUAGCAAGACCGUGU
rnacentral:lncRNA from 1 species